rnacentral:rRNA from 1 species
UCUGGUGUCCUAGGCGUAGAGGAACCACACCAAUCCAUCCCGAAUUUGGUGGUUAAACUCUACUGCGGUGAGUAUACUGUAGGGGAGGUCCUGCGGCAAAAUAGCUCGAUGCCAGAA